rnacentral:tRNA from 1 species
UCCCUAGUGGCUUAGACAGUAAAGCAUCUGCCUGCAAUGUGGGAGACCCGGGUUCAGUUCCUGGGUCGGGAA